rnacentral:rRNA from 1 species
CCUACGGGUGGCAGCAGUGAGGAAUAUUGCACAAUGGGGGAAACCCUGAUGCAGCGACGCCGCGUGAGUGAAGAAGUACUUCGUUACGUUAAGCUCUAUCAGCCAGGGAGAAAAUGACGGUACCUGAGUACGAAGCCCCGUCUAACUACGUGCCAGCAGCCGCGGUAAUCCGUCGGGGGCCAGCGUUAUCCGGCUUUACUGGGUGUAAAGGGGGCGUAGACGGUGAGCCAAGUCUGGAGGGAAAUGCCGCAGCUUAACGGCGGAACUGCCGUGGAAACUGGCGAACUAGAGUGCGCGAGGGGUAUGCGGAAUGCGUGGUGUAGCGGUGAAAUGCGUAGAUAUCAGGAGGAACACCGGUGGCGAAGGCGGCUUACUGGCGCGUAACUGACGUUGAGGCUCGAAAGCGUGGGGAGCAAACAGGAUUAGAUACCCGGGUAGUC